UCUGGNUUAACUGGGGGCGUGCGGUGGGUACGGGCUGACUUGAGUGCGGUAGGGGAGACUGGAACUCCUGGUGUAGCGGUGGAAUGCGCAGAUAUCAGGAAGAACACCGGUGGCGAAGGCGGGUNUCUGGGCCGUUACUGACGCUGAGGAGCGAAAGCGUGGGGAGCGAACAGGAUUAGAUACCCUGGUAGUCCACGCUGUAAACGUUGGGCACUAGGUGUGGGGGCCACCCGUGGUUUNUGCGCCGUAGCUAACGCUUUAAGUGCCCCGCCUGGGGAGUACGGCCGCAAGGCUAAAACUCAAAGGAAUUGACGGGGGCCCGCACAAGCGGCGGAGCAUGCGGAUUAAUUCGAUGCAACGCGAAGAACCUUACCAAGGCUUGACAUGCACGGCGGCACUGCAGAGAUGUGGUGGCAUUUAGUUGGUCGUGUGCAGGUGGUGCAUGGUUGUCGUCAGCUCGUGUCGUGAGAUGUUGGGUUAAGUCCCGCAACGAGCGCAACCCUUGCCCUAUGUUGCCAGCACGUGAUGGUGGGGACUCGUGGGGGACUGCCGGGGUUAACUCGGAGGAAGGUGGGGAUGACGUCAAAUCAUCAUGCCCCUUAUGUCUUGGGCUUCACGCAUGCUACAAUGGUUGGUACAGAGGGUUGCGAUAUCGUGAGGUGGAGCGAAUCCCUUAAAGCCAGUCUCAGUUCGGAUUGGGGUCUGCAACUCGACCCCAUGGAGGUGGAGUCGCUAGUAAUCGCAGAUCAGCAACGCUGCGGUGAAUACGUUCUCGGGCCUUGUACACACCGCCCGU
rnacentral:rRNA from 1 species